rnacentral:rRNA from 1 species
UACGUAGGGGGCAAGCGUUGUCCGGAAUCAUUGGGCGUAAAGAGCGCGUAGGCGGCCCUGUAAGUCCGCUGUGAAAGUCAAGGGCUCAACCCUUGAAUGCCGGUGGAUACUGCAGGGCUAGAGUCCGGAAGAGGCGAGUGGAAUUCCUGGUGUAGCGGUGAAAUGCGCAGAUAUCAGGAGGAACACCGAUGGCGAAGGCAGCUCGCUGGGACG